rnacentral:rRNA from 1 species
AGAGUUUGAUCCUGGCUCAGGAUGAACGCUAGCGACAGGCCUAACACAUGCAAGUCGAGGGGCAGCGGGGAGGUAGCAAUACCUUUGCCGGCGACCGGCGCACGGGUGAGUAACACGUAUGCAAUCCACCUGUAACAGGGGGAUAACCCGGAGAAAUCCGGACUAAUACCCCAUAAUAUGGGCGCUCCGCAUGGAGGGCUCAUUAAAGAAAGCAAUUUUGGUUACAGACGAGCAUGCGCUCCAUUAGCCAGUUGGCGGGGUAACGGCCCACCAAAGCGACGAUGGAUAGGGGUUCUGAGAGGAAGGUCCCCCACAUUGGAACUGAGACACGGUCCAAACUCCUACGGGAGGCAGCAGUGAGGAAUAUUGGUCAAUGGUCGGCAGACUGAACCAGCCAAGUCGCGUGAGGGAAGACGGCCCUACGGGUUGUAAACCUCUUUUGUCGGAGAGUAAAGUACGCUACGUGUAGCGUAUUGCAAGUAUCCGAAGAAAAAGCAUCGGCUAACUCCGUGCCAGCAGCCGCGGUAAUACGGAGGAUGCGAGCGUUAUCCGGAUUUAUUGGGUUUAAAGGGUGCGUAGGCGGCACGCCAAGUCAGCGGUGAAAUUUCCGGGCUCAACCCGGACUGUGCCGUUGAAACUGGCGAGCUAGAGUACACAAGAGGCAGGCGGAAUGCGUGGUGUAGCGGUGAAAUGCAUAGAUAUCACGCAGAACCCCGAUUGCGAAGGCAGCCUGCUAGGGUGAAACAGACGCUGAGGCACGAAAGCGUGGGUAUCGAACAGGAUUAGAUACCCUGGUAGUCCACGCAGUAAACGAUGAAUACUAACUGUUUGCGAUACAAUGUAAGCGGUACAGCGAAAGCGUUAAGUAUUCCACCUGGGGAGUACGCCGGCAACGGUGAAACUCAAAGGAAUUGACGGGGGCCCGCACAAGCGGAGGAACAUGUGGUUUAAUUCGAUGAUACGCGAGGAACCUUACCCGGGCUCAAACGCAGGGGGAAUAUAUAUGAAAGUAUAUAGCUAGCAAUAGUCACCUGCGAGGUGCUGCAUGGUUGUCGUCAGCUCGUGCCGUGAGGUGUCGGCUUAAGUGCCA